rnacentral:rRNA from 1 species
GAUAAACUCGGGGGACUGCUGACUAUAAACUUUUCUCAAACCAGAGGAAGGUUGCGGCAAUAACAGGUCUGUGAUGCCCUCAGAUGUUCCGGGCUGCACACGUGCUACAUUUAGUAGCGCAGUGUGCACAUUAAUAGAGUGAUAGGUUCCGUGGUUUGUACAUUUUAAGGGCUCGUCCUAGUAACCAAAGCUCCACGGGACAUAUCAACCUUCCCCUUACAGGGCGGGUAACCUCUUCGAAGUGCUGGCAUGAUUUCCCUAGUUUUGGCAUUUGAAUCCUUGUCGCAGCAGCCCUGAGACGUAGUGAACGCUGCAAAGUGAUUCCAGUCUUAGGUUUGCGACACAUGCAAUUCCUGGUUGACUCAUCGUGGGGACUGAUUCUUGUAAUUAUUUUUCACGGUUCAACCAGGAAUGCCUUGUACUCGGCGGCUCA